rnacentral:rRNA from 1 species
ACUGCUCAGUAACACGUGGCUAAUCUGCCCUUAGGACGAGAACAACCCCGGGAAACUGGGGCUAAUUCUCGAUAGGCGAAGAACUCUGGAAUGAGUCUUUACCUAAAUAGUGCAACGUUAUCCUCGUUGCAUCGCCUAAGGAUGAGGCCGCGACCGAUCAGGUUGUUGGCGAGGUAAUGGCUCACCAAGCCUUUUACCGGUGCGGGCCGUGAGAGCGGGAGCCCGGAGAUGGGCACUGAGACAAGGGCCCAGGCCCUACGGGGCGCAGCAGUCGCGAAAACUUUGCAAUAAGCGAAAGCUUGACAGGGCUAUCCCGAGUGCCAUCCGCUGAGGAAGGCUUUUACCCAGUCUAGAACGCUGGGGGAAUAAGGAGAGGGCAAGUCUGGUGUCAGCCGCCGCGGUAAUACCAGCUCUCCGAGUGGUGUGGAUGUUUAUUGGGCCUAAAGCAUCCGUAGCUGGCUAGGUCAGUCCCUUGUUAAAUCCACCGAAUUAAUCGUUGGAUUGCGGGGGAUACUGCUUGGCUAGGGGACGAGAGAGGCAGACGGUAUUUUCGGGGUAGGGGUGAAAUCCUAUAAUCCCGGGAAGACCACCAGUGGCGAAGGCUGUCUGCUAGAACGCGCCCGACGGUGAGGGAUGAAAGCUGGGGGAGCGAACCGGAUUAGAUACCCGGGUAGUCCCAGCUGUAAACGAUGCAGACUAGGUGUUUGGACGGCCACGUGCCGUUCUAGUGCCGCAGGGAAGCUGUUAAGUCUGCCGCCUGGGGAGUACGAUCGCAAGAUUGAAACUUAAAGGAAUUGGCGGGGGAGCAC